CUUAUCCGGGUGACCAACCAAUUUACUUCGAUAAUUGUACCUAUAUAAAUAGUCUAUUCCCGUAUCAAUCAUCACAUACAUUUAGAACAAUUCGACAUCUGUCAAUACAAAUUCUGUGUUUAUCAAAUUAUCAACAUGUUCAAAUACGUAUUUUUCGCUGCUCUCUUCGCUUUCGCUGCUGCUAAGCCUUUGGUGGUGGAAUACUCGGUAGAUCCAGUAGCUUAUAGCGCCCCUGUUGCCGUUGACUAUACAGGAGCAGCAUACUACACUUAUCCAAGCUAUGCAACAGCCUAUGAUUACUAUUCUUACCCGUACAGCUAUUACGUCCGUUGAUUAAAUGUGUGAAUAACUUAUUUAAAUAUAUUUAUUAAGUAUA